rnacentral:rRNA from 1 species
AUAACGACUCUCGGCAACGGAUAUCUCGGCUCUCGCAUCGAUGAAGAACGUAGCGAAAUGCGAUACUUGGUGUGAAUUGCAGAAUCCCGUGAACCAUCGAGUCUUUGAACGCAAGUUGCGCCCUAAGCCAUUUGGCCGAGGGCACGUCUGCCUGGGCGUCAAU